rnacentral:rRNA from 1 species
UAAGGAAUAUUGGACAAUGGAGGCAACUCUGAUCCAGCCAUGCCGCGUGAAGGAAUAAGGCCCUAUGGGUUGUAAACUUCUUUUAGACGGGACAAAACCCCUUUACGUGUAAAGGGUUGAUGGUACUGUCAGAAUAAGCAUCGGCUAACUUCGUGCCAGCAGCCGCGGUAAUACGAAGGAUGCAAGCGUUAUCCGGAAUUAUUGGGUUUAAAGGGUGCGUAGGCGGACUAAUAAGUCAGUGGUGAAAGCCUGCAGCUUAACUGCAGAAUUGCCAUUGAUACUGUUAGUCUUGAGUACAGUUGAGGUAGGCGGAAUGUGUCAUGUAGCGGUGAAAUGCUUAGAUAUGACACAGAACACCGAUUGCGAAGGCAGCUUGCUAGGCUGUAACUGACGCUGAGGCACGAAAGCGUGGGGAGCAAACA